GACGAACGCUGGCGGCGUGCUUAACACAUGCAAGUGGAGCGACGAACCAGGGCUUGCCCUGGGGCAGAGCCGCGAACGGGUGAGUAACACGUGGGUAACGUGCCCCGAUGACUGGGACAACCCGGGGAAACCCGGGCUAAUACCGGAUGUGCCCCCUCAACUCAGUGAGGUGUGUAAAGGAAGCUUCGGCCUCCGCAUCGGGAUCGGCCCGCGGCCCAUUAGCUUGUUGGUGAGGUAACGGCUCACCAAGGCUGCGAUGGGUAGCUGGUCUGAGAGGACGAUCAGCCACACUGGAACUGAGACACGGCCCAGACUCCUACGGGAGGCAGCAGUGGGGAAUCUUGCGCAAUGGGCGAAAGCGUGACGGAGCAACGCCGCGUGGGGGAAGACGGCCUUCGGGUUGUAAACCCCUUUCAGUUGGGACGAAGAUCGGGCGGUUUAACUACGCACCGCCUGACGGUACCUUCACAAAAAGCCACGGCUAACUACGUG
rnacentral:rRNA from 1 species